AAAAAUUUCCUGGUGUUCUGUUACUAGGGUUAACCACCACUAAAAUAUUAAUUGUGCUGACUAUAUGUCAGAGCAUGAAGGAGCCAAUAUGCAAGUACUCACUAUUUUGUUUGUGAUAUAUAUUUUUUCAUGGCAAAGUCCUAGAAAUGAAAUUGCUGGGUCAGAGGUGUAUGCAUAUUCAUAAGCACAAGAUGUACCUGACAUUAUUAAACAUUGUCACAACCAAGAAGUGCUGCCACUACCAGCAGAUGUGGAAGGAAACCACAGAAAAGCAACACCAUGUCUGUGUGCACUGCCCAUCCCAAGAAAAGUGACCACUCUUGCAUCUGUCCCACCCGUUUGGAAAAGCACAAUCACACUUCCUCUGCCCCAGAUUCCUUGAGGUAGCAAACUCCUCCCCUUGUCUUUAAAUUCUUUGUUCUACUCUCACUUCCUGCUGAUUCCACUCUGUGAACUCAGCCCACUCCCACAGGAGUGAAUAAACAGCCAAGGUUGCUCAUACAGAGCUUUUUCAUCUGCUCUUUCUCCCCUCUGCACCUUUAACAGAUAUGGUGCCGAAACCCAGGAUAGGGUAGCUCUCUUGAGAGGGACUUCAAGACCUAUCUCAAGCCCCUGGUAUCUUAAAGAGGUCACCCUGUAACUUUGGCUUCUCAGACUGUGCCCCAGACACUACGUGCCAACUUCAGAUCAGCAAGCGAAAAGUUACCAAGACAGGGUCCCAGGCCAUAUGGACCUAGCACCCAGUACCAGCACCCAGCAUGCCCAACCUGCUCUACAUUGAGCCAGCUCAUGGUUCUCACAUUGACACAGCAUAGCAGGCACAGAGUACGGCCAUGGAGGCCAAGGUCCAACUGGCACUUGUGCACAUAGUGGGACCCCAGCACCUGCACACACAGCCUACUAUCCAGUGCCUGGAAGCCACCCUCAACACCUGUGUGCACAGCCCUCCCUCUACACAAGCAUGCCGAUCCCAGCCUAGGGGACUAUGGCUAUCAAAAAGCAAUUUACACUUGUGAUUCACCUCUGCUAAGAUUGAUAUAACUGAUCUCUUCUGGGUAUUCAACAACUAAAGUUCAGGGACCAGAACUAGAGAUAACCAGGCUAAAAAACAGCCAAUAUUUUGGCCCUGGCCCUCCAAGGUCAGCAGAGACCCAGUACAUGAGAAAACCUUUUCUACAGGAGCCUACAACUUUGGUGAGUCACCCAAUCCCCUGAGCAGGGAGAUUGUUGGGCCCCAUAGGACAGAGAUCAACAAAUGUACAGUGUGCCAAGGAAGGGUCAACAAGAGAAAAAAGUCUCUAAUGCUUUCAUAGAAAGAAAAAUGGUGAAGCAAGACUGUGACUCAUUCUGGCAGCUGGCACUGAGAGGCUCUGUGCAUGGCUCCAAGAGUAAUGCUUAAAGAGGCUUACCUGACCUUGAAUGGCAGCAAGAGGUCGAUUUUAAUUAAUACAGGUCUCAUUUUAACUUGGUCUUAAAAACCCAGCAGAUGGUGUGGGGCUGUGGGGACAAAGGAACACUUCUCCACAGUGGUGGGGGUGUAGAUUGGUGUAACCACGAGUGGAAAUCAGUGUGGAGUUUCCUCAAAACCUAUGACUACAGGUUCCAUUUGAGCCAGGUAUUCCUCUUCCUAAUAUCUUCCUGAAAGUAUUAAAAGCAUUAUACCACAGCAAUAUAUACAUGGUCACGUUACAGCUUAUAAUAGCUAAAUCUUAGAAACAGCCCUAAUGCCCAUCAACUGAUGAACAGAUAAAGAACAUGUGGGUUUUUUUCCCUACUCUGUCAUAAAGAAGGAUAAGCCUGAGACAUUUCUAGCUAAAUGGAUGCACACUCAGGACAUACUCUGAAGUGAAAUAAACAGGACACUCAUUGGUGAAUACUGCAUUGUUCCUCUGGUGUGAGAAACCAAAAGUGUUAAUAAGGACCAAAAUGAAUAAUAGAUAUUGUAAAAUAGGAAGAAAAUGUUCAACUGGGAAGGGGAACUAAGGAUGGGGGAGGGGAACAGGAAGGAAGGGAAAAGAAAAAAUUGAUGAGAAAACAAUGAAAAUAUGGAAACAAAGCUUUUGUAAUUAAGGAAGGAAAGAAGAGUUGAAGGGAGGGUAGAGGAAUGGGGAAAAAAGAAUCAAG
ensembl:lincRNA